GGGGAAUAUUGGACAAUGGGCGCAAGCCUGAUCCAGCCAUACCGCGUGGGUGAAGAAGGCCUUCGGGUUGUAAAGCCCUUUUGUUGGGAAAGAAAUCCAGCUGGUUAAUACCCGGUUGGGAUGACGGUACCCAAAGAAUAAGCACCGGCUAACUUC
rnacentral:rRNA from 1 species